rnacentral:rRNA from 1 species
AGUGAACGCUGGCGGUAGGCCUAACACAUGCAAGUCGAACGGCAGCACAGUAAGAGCUUGCUCUUACGGGUGGCGAGUGGCGGACGGGUGAGGAAUACAUCGGAAUCUACUUUUUCGUGGGGGAUAACGUAGGGAAACUUACGCUAAUACCGCAUACGACCUACGGGUGAAAGCAGGGGAUCUUCGGACCUUGCGCGAUUAAAUGAGCCGAUGUCGGAUUAGCUAGUUGGCGGGGUAAAGGCCCACCAAGGCGACGAUCCGUAGCUGGUCUGAGAGGAUGAUCAGCCACACUGGAACUGAGACACGGUCCAGACUCCUACGGGAGGCAGCAGUGGGGAAUAUUGGACAAUGGGCGCAAGCCUGAUCCAGCCAUACCGCGUGGGUGAAGAAGGCCUUCGGGUUGUAAAGCCCUUUUGUUGGGAAAGAAAAGCAGCAGGUUAAUACCCCGCUGUUCUGACGGUACCCAAAGAAUAAGCAUCGGCUAACUUCGUG